rnacentral:lncRNA from 1 species
CUGAUCUUCACUGCCGCCACACCCACAUCAACCUCUCUCGGCCACAGCUCCCCCACACGCGGCCAAACCAGCCAUCGCCAUUCCCCCAUUUCCACUCAUCUUCAAGUCCCAGCCUACAGAACAGACCCCCUCCCUUUUCCCGACCAUCUACUCCCCUCACCUCAUUGAUUUCCCUCUCCAUACCCACAAACCAGAAUCAAUCAAAGUCGCAGCAUCCCGGCUAACCCAAGAGUCCCAUCUCCAUCGUUUUCAUCUCCUCCUCCCAGCCGCGGUGUCUCCGCCUCAACACAGCCAACACCCUCUUCAUCUCCCUCAACCAGCCUCCAGCUGCAACCCAGGAACGACAGCGCCCACAGACGUCGUCCCCUUCCUCACCCACCAACUCUCCUUUGCACAGACCGGCCUCCUGCUCGCCUUCUCGCUCCACCAGCGCUCGCAGACCCAACAGCCUCCAGCGGCGGCCUGAACACAACGGCACCUACAGAUCAGCAGCCAUCCUUCCUCCUUCUGCCAGCUACCUGAAGCGGAGGGGAAGACGAAAAAAACCCAUAGAAGAGCCGAUCUGCAGUGAAGCAGAUCUAAAGGAAAAGAGAGAGAGGCAGACCUAAAAACCAUGAAAGAAGAUUAAAACAGUUUGCCUAUUGUGUUUUUCUGGUAUUUUGCAGGUCACUGCCGGCGAGGAGGGGAAGAAAAGAGGAAGCCGUGACUGACCCUCCUGCUUGCCUGGG